ACUUUCCUCGUCAUCCUUGUUAUCACCAUUCUCCGUCUCUCUUAAAGAUCAAACAAAACUCUCUGUAUCUAAAUUUGAUCAUGAAGUUCGAAGGAGAAAUUCAUCGCAAUUCAACUCAGGAGUUCAUAUUUCGCUAAAAAAACGAAGAAAUUUGGAUAUUUUUUUGAUUGUGUAAAGUGAUUUUUGUUAUGAAAUUAGCGUGAUUUUGAAGGAUUAGGUUAACGAUUUCAUGGUGUUUAUAUAGUAGAUAAGAGUAUCAUGAUGGCGGAGAAUCCACGGCCACUGCAGGCGCGUCCGUAUGAGGAUCACGCGCCGCUGCAGUCUCUACGGAUGGUGGAGGAGGAAGAGGAGGAGGAGGAGGGCGAUGAAGACGGCGCAUAUGAGGAUGAUGGAGGGGAAGAGACUAUGGAUGAGGCGGAGGAUGUAAGCAUGAAGGUAUUGAAUCACCAUCAAUAUGGAGGACAGAGCCAACAGUUGUGUGGAGGUGGAGUUGUGGAAGUUUCUAGAACAAGUGAGCUUACUCUUGCUUUUGAAGGUGAAGUCUAUGUUUUUCCUGCAGUCACUCCUGAUAAGGUGCAAGCGGUGCUCUUACUAUUGGGGGGGUGCGACAUUCCUACUGCUGUGCCCACUGUUGAACUUCCAUUCGACAACAAGGUAGAGGAUUUGCCAAAGCAAGCUAAUCUUUCGAAAAGAUUUGCCUCCUUGGUUAGGUUCCGAGAGAAGCGGAAGGAGAGAUGUUUUGACAAAAAAAUUAGAUAUAGUGUCAGGAAAGAGGUUGCUCAAAGGAUGCAUAGGAAAAAUGGUCAAUUUGCAUCUUUGAAAUCAAAUUCUGGAUCUUCUAGCUGCGAUUCAGCCAAGAGUAGCCUUGAAGGAGAUGGCACACAACAUUCUGUAAUUGUUCCUGGAAAGUGUCACCAUUGUGGUGUGAGUGAAAAUUGUACGCCAGCGAUGCGUCGUGGGCCAGAUGGACCAAGGACACUCUGCAAUGCAUGUGGACUUAAGUGGGCAAACAAGGGAACAUUGAGAGAUCUAAGCAAGGCAGGGAGGAAAAUAUCUGUUGAACCAAACGAACUGGUGGAAUCUGCUCCAUUGCCAGGAUGGACAUAUAUGGAGGCACUUUAUUACAAAAUACUCCAAAAAUAUGAGCUUAAUCAUCUCUCAGGCAUCUUAUGUUACAUGCAGGGAACUCCUAACAAUCCCGUGAAGGCAUUUGCUGAAGGAUCCCUUGAUCAUUGUGCUGAUGUGGAAAAGAAUCUAUUCAGCUCUGGUAGCAAUCUUGCAAAUGAUAUUCCUGCGGGUAUCAUUAGUUCUUCGAACAAUCUUGUUGAGCAGGAAACUCUAGUUGAUUUUGGAAACGCUUCGAAAACUGAGCUCGUCAUUCCUGCAAACUUUGACUAGUUGACUGCCUGUAAAUUGUUGUUGUAACAUACCCACUUGAAGUUAACAUUUCCUUUCUGGAGAGACGCUACUAUUUCAAACUGACCCUGUUAAAUUUGGGAUGGUUGCUGUUGAUGUGUGAAAUUUGAUGCCUGUAGAUGACUUCUCUGUGGACGAGCAUGAUUUUGACCCAGGUUUUUUAUACCAUUAUUACGCCCCAUACAAAAUGGAUUACUUAUUUGUGUAAACAUAGAAAAUGACUAACCAAAUACUUACAAUUAAUGCUGAAUUUUGUACAAAUAUCGAUUAACUAGACACCUUUUUUAAGCUAAAAGACCUAAAGGGAUUACUCAAUAGUUUUAUAUGCCAAAAGUGGUUGUCAGAGGUAGGAUGUGUGACCGUCAAUUUCUCUGAUGGACUUCAGUGGUUGUUUGCUCAUUUUUUUCUUCAAGGAAUUUGCAUUUGCUAUUA